AUCGUACAACGGAGGUGCGAGGGCUGUCGCUGACCUUCAAAGGUCGUGCACGCCUAAGCGCUCUCUCACAUCCAUCUCACCCCUUUUGUGCAUCACCGCGCGGGCCCCUUCUUGGCGGAGAGGGUCUGCGUUUUCACAUAAAACUUGAUACAGUGUAGAAUGUCCUUUUGCGGUCACACGCAAUCAAUACAACUUUCAACAACGGAUCUCUUGGCUCUCGCAUCGAUGAAGAACGCAGCGAAAUGCGAUACGUAAUGUGAAUUGCAGAAUUCAGUGAAUCAUCGAAUCUUUGAACGCACCUUGCGCCCCUUGGCAUUCCGAGGGGCACACCCGUUUGAGUGUCGUGAAAUUCUCAAAACCCUUUCUUAGGAUUUUGGACUUGGAGGUUCAAUGCUCGCUUUCGGGUCUCGAAGGUGAGCUCCCCUCAAAUGAAUUAGUGGGGUCUGCUUUGCUGGUCCUUGACGUGACAAGAUGUUUCAACGUUUUGGACUUGGCACUGUCUCUUGGAUGCCUGCUUC
rnacentral:rRNA from 1 species